AAAUGAAAGCAGGAGCUACCCGCUUCUCGCCUGAGUAAAUUUCUGAAUUUGCUGGGCAUGAUAUCGAGUAAGAGCUUGGUCAGCCAAGUUCUUUAAUUGAGAGCGGGCGCAAAUGUGUGCCCGCUCUCUUUCUGCUUU
rfam:Lactobacillus buchneri CD034, complete genome.